rnacentral:rRNA from 1 species
GAUGAACGCUGGCGGCGUGCCUAAUACAUGCAAGUCGAGCGAACGGACGAGAAGCUUGCUUCUCUGAUGUUAGCGGCGGACGGGUGAGUAACACGUGGAUAACCUACCUAUAAGACUGGGAUAACUUCGGGAAACCGGAGCUAAUACCGGAUGAUAUUUUGAACCGCAUGGUUCAAAAGUGAAAGACGGUCUUGCUGUCACUUAUAGAUGGAUCCGCGCUGCAUUAGCUAGUUGGUAAGGUAACGGCUUACCAAGGCAACGAUGCAUAGCCGACCUGAGAGGGUGAUCGGCCACACUGGAACUGAGACACGGUCCAGACUCCUACGGGAGGCAGCAGUAGGGAAUCUUGCGCAAUGGGCGAAAGCCUGACGGAGCAACGCCGCGUGAGUGAUGAAGGUCUUCGGAUCGUAAAACUCUGUUAUUAGGGAAGAACAGAUGUGUAAGUAACUGUGCACAUCUUGACGGUACCUAAUCAGAAAGCCACGGCUAACUACGUG